rnacentral:rRNA from 1 species
UACGUAGGUGGCAAGAGUUGUCCGGAAUUACUGGGUGUAAAGGGAGCGCAGGCGGGGAAGCAAGUCAGCUGUGAAAUCCAUGGGCUUAACCCAUGAACUGCAGUUGAAACUGUUUUUCUUGAGUGAAGUAGAGGUAGGCGGAAUUCCGAGUGUAGCGGUGAAAUGCGUAGAUAUUCGGAGGAACACCGGUGGCGAAGGCGGCCUACUGGGCUUUUACUGACGCUGAGGCUCGAAGGCGUGGGGAGUAAAC